UCAUGUGUCUAUGAGUCCAUCUGUGUCCCAUCCUACACUUCCUAUACUAAGCUUCCUAUCCUACACUUCCCAUCCUACACUACAUCUUCCCCAGGUUCGUGUGUCCAGGAGUCCAUCUGUGUCCCCUCAGAUAUUCUCCCUUCCUCACUUCCCAUCCUACACUUCCUAUCCUAAACUUCCUAUCGUACACUUCCCAUCUACACUAAGUCUUCCCCAGGUUCAUGUGUCCAGGAGUCCAUCUGUGUCCCCUCAGACAUUCUCCCUUCUUCACUUCCUAUCCUACACUUCCUAUCCUAUAUUUCCUAUCCUACACUUCCUAUCCUAUAUUUCCUAUC